rnacentral:rRNA from 1 species
UACGGGGGGGGGCAAGCGUUGUUCGGAAUUACUGGGCGUAAAGGGCUCGUAGGCGGCCAACUAAGUCAGACGUGAAAUCCCUCGGCUUAACCGGGGAACUGCAUCUGAUACUGGAUGGCUUGAGUUUGGGAGAGGGAUGCGGAAUUCCAGGUGUAGCGGUGAAAUGCGUAGAUAUCUGGAGGAACACCGGUGGCGAAGGCGGCAUCCUGGACCAACACUGACGCUGAGGAGCGAAAGCCAGGGGAGCAAAGCGGG